UACCAGCUCUCCGAGUGGUAGGGAUGAUUAUUAGGCUUAAAGCGUCCGUAGCCGGCUUAGCAAGUUUCCUGUUAAACUCAGCGACCUAAUCGUUGAAUCGCGGGAAAUACUACUGGGCUAGGAGGCGGGAGAGGUCGACGGUACUUCCGGGGUAGGGGUGAAAUCCUAUAAUCCCGGGAGGACCACCAGUGGCGAAGGCUGUCGACUAGAACGCGCUCGACGGUGAGGGACGAAAGCUGGGGGAGCGAACCGGAUUAGAUACCCGGGUAGUCCCAGCUGUAAACGAUGCGGGCUAGGUGUUGGGGUGGCUACGAGCCACUUCAGUGCCGCAGGGAAGCCAUUAAGCCCGCCGCCUGGGGAGUACGGCCGCAAGGCUGAAACUUAAAGGAAUUGGCGGGGGAGCACCACAAGGCGUGAAGCUUGCGGUUC
rnacentral:rRNA from 1 species